rnacentral:rRNA from 1 species
GACGAACGCUGGCGGCGUGCCUAAUACAUGCAAGUAGAACGCACAGUUUAUACCGUAGCUUGCUACACCAUAGACUGUGAGUUGCGAACGGGUGAGUAACGCGUAGGUAACCUGCCUGGUAGCGGGGGAUAACUAUUGGAAACGAUAGCUAAUACCGCAUAAUAUUAAUUAUUGCAUGAUAAUUAAUUGAAAGGUGCAAUUGCACCACUACCAGAUGGACCUGCGUUGUAUUAGCUAGUAGGUGAGGUAACGGCUCACCUAGGCGACGAUACAUAGCCGACCUGAGAGGGUGAUCGGCCACACUGGGACUGAGACACGGCCCAGACUCCUACGGGAGGCAGCAGUAGGGAAUCUUCGGCAAUGGACGAAAGUCUGACCGAGCAACGCCGCAUGAGUGAAGAAGGGUUUCGGAUCGUAAAGCUCUGUUGUAAGAGAAGAACGGGUGUGAGAGUGGAAAGUUCACACUGUGACGGUAUCUUACCAGAAAGGGACGGCUAACUACGUG